GCACUGUGUGGGCUUAAACCAAGCUGAAAAUGUAUUUCUUAUCAUCUCUCUCAAAAUUAUCUGGGAAACACAGAACUGGGGCUUUAAUGACUUUAUUCCCAAAUCUCCUUGACAGCAUGGAACUGUAUUAACCCAGAAGCAACAGUAUGCUUUUUCUUUUGGAAAUCGUGACUGUGAAGGGGAAUUGAAUGAAUGUGGGAACAAGUAUAAAAACAAAGGGCUCCUGUGUGAAUAACUCUGCUUUUUAACUGAAUUCAGUUCUGCAGAAUUGAAACAGACUGGGGAAAAGUUCCUAAAAUAUCUUAAAUUCCAACAGUGUUAUCCAGUAUAACAACAGUUACAGUCCCCUGGGAAACCAUCCUUCCCAUGGGAAACUCCUCAAGACCAAGAGAGCUGAGAAGAGCUAGGAGAUCUUGAAGAAAGCUUUCCUUAGUGUGUAAGAACUCUCCAUCCCAGAUAUAGGAAGUCAGGAAAGAAAGGCAAGAGACCAGCACGGCUGAACUGGGACCUGCUGGUAAAACCAGAGAGCAAGAAGAAAAUACACAAGCAGUGGAAGUAGGGACAGGUAACCUGGGAGGAGUAUAGAGACGCUGUUAGGCUGUGUAGGGAUGGGGUCAUGAAGGCCAAGACCCAACCAGAACUGGAUUUGGCAAGGGGCGAAAAGAAUGAGAAAAGCUUCUACAGCUGCAACCAGAAAUGGAAAGCCCAAGACAGUGUACUCCCACAAGUGGGCAAUACAGGCACACAGGUAACAGACAACGACAAAGUUGAGGUACUCAACAACUUUUUGCCUCAGUCUUCACUGGCAGCUGCUCUUCACACAACCCUCGAGUGGAUGGGCUGGAAGCAGGGGACAAGGGAAGUAAUGUCUCUCCUGCUGUAAGCAAAGAUCAGGUUCACAACCACCUGGGGAACCUGAACAUCCAUAAGUCUAUGAAAUUGGCUGAUGUAGUGUCUAAGCCACACUCAGUGAUAUUUAAAAAGUCAUGGCAGCCAGGUGAAGUCCCUACUGACUGGAAGAAAGUCAAUGGCACAUCCAUUUUCAAGAAGGGUGGAAAGAACGAUCCAGGAAACUACAAACCUUUCAGCAUCAUCUCUCUGCUGAGGAAGAUCAUAGAGAAGAUCCUCCUGGAAACUAUGCUAAUGCAUACGGAAAACAGGGAGGUGAUCUGAGACAGCCAACAUGGCUUGAUGAAAGCCUGACCAACCUAGCCUUCUAUGAUGACAUAACUGCACCAAUGGACAAAGGAAGAGCUACUGAUGUCAUCUAUCGGAACUUCAGUAUGGCCUUUGACAUGAUCCUCACAACAUCCUUCUCUUGUAAUCGCUGUCCAGCCUCGCAGGCCAGACCCUAUGAACACACUCCUGGGCUUACCUAGGUCAGAGCACUGCACAACGCGAAGAUGACACUGGCAGCGGAAGGGGCACACUGGCCCAAAUCCAGAUAUGACAGGAUCAUCUGUUGGAGCCAUGUCGGCUGACCCUUCAUCCUCUAUCAUAAAGUCAAAGAGGCCCUUCUGGUGGAACGGCGUGGCCAAGCAUACUGGCAGCAGUAGGACGAAGAGGAGAACUAGCCUCAUGGCUCAGUUCAUCAACUCCAGGCAGAACCUACGAACCACAGUAGAGAAUUUAAAGCAAAAGUAGCAAUUUUCCAUAGCUGCACAGUCCCUGCUGAAGGAGGUCCAGCAUAUCCCAUAGUUGCAUAACUAUUCCUUUCAAUAAGUGAAAACUGAACUCUGAAUAUAGGACAGUUAUAUGAUAGCAGUCUGGUAA